rnacentral:rRNA from 1 species
UAGUCCACGCCCUAAACGAUGCUCACUCGGUAUUGGCGAUAUAUUGUCAGUGCCUAAGGGAAACCAUUAAGUGAGCCACCUGGGGAGUACGUUCGCAAGAAUGAAACUCAAAGGAAUUGACGGGGAUCCGCACAAGCGGUGGAGCAUGUGGUUUAAUUCGAUGAUACGCGAGGAACCUUACCUAGGCUCUAAUGCCUCUGCUACCCCUUGAAAGAGGGGGUUCCUUCGGGACAGAGUGCAAGGUGCUGCAUGGUUGUCGUCAGCUCGUGCCGUGAGGUGUUGGGUUAAGUCCCGCGACGAGCGCAACCCCUAUUGUUAGUCGCCAGCAAGUAAUGUUGGGGACUCUAGCAAGACUGCCGGCGUAAGCCGCGAGGAAGGUGGGGAUGACGUCAAAUCAUCAUGGCCUUUAUGCCUAGGGCGACACACGUGCUACAAUGGUGCAUACAGAGGGUUGCGAAGCCGCGAGGUGGAGCUAAUCUCAGAAAGUGCAUCCCG